GGCUAGCUGCGAACCCCAGGCCGCCUACACUGGCGGGCCCAGAGGUCUGCCCCUGCAGCCAUUCAAACAGACUCUCUGCCGCGCGCUGCGCUGCGCGUGUGCCAUAGUGUGGGGGAAGGCCGUGUAGGGAGGGGCCAACAUUGCCUGAAGAGGCCGUCAGGGUGUUCACAUAUGCUGCUGCCCCCUCCACGCCCCGUUGCCCCGCCUG
rnacentral:lncRNA from 1 species